CCCGCUGAUGUGCUUAUUUCCGCUGACAGGAGCGGGGGACCCACCUUUGACGCGCGAGCGUCAUGGGGUGAAGCCACCACCGGUGGCCGGGCGCACACCUUUCCGCCCGAACCCGACAGCUAACUUCGUAGGCGUUCGAGAGGUCAACU
rnacentral:sRNA from 2 species